CUUCCCCUUACUUUUUCUCUUCUUCUUGACAAUAAUCUCUUCUUCCUCAUCGUCUUCCUCAUCCUCCCGUUCACUCUGGCUUAUAUCCCUACUCUCCUCUCUGACCAACGACUCUGAUACCCCAUCAGCAUCUACUUCGUUUGCUCGAAUCUUCCUCGCUUGCGCAAAGAAUAACUGGGCCUCCUUGUCUGGAGAGAUGUUUUCGAUGCAAUAAUCAUUACCUCUUGGGACAAGGAAUUGGGAGCCCGGGGCCAUGACGAAACUUGUCCGAUAGAUGGUCACUUGUACAGCACCUUGGAUCACGUAGAACACCUACAUCGAGGAUGUAGACUAUACCAGCAGCCAUAAAGUGGCCCUCGCCAAAGACUUUUUGGUACUUGAAAUUUCCCCCUGAAACGAGUUUGGGGUCGAGCAAUGCUUUCGGACAUGCAAUUUCUAUCAUCUGUCAGAAAACAAUCGCAAAUCGUGAAAUAAUAAUAGCCCACUUCGAUAACACUCCUCGCCGAAUGGAUAAUCUUGCACCAAACCGGUCGGCUCCGUCUUAUGAUCCCAUCCUUCUUCAUCCUCCACACUAUCCUCCCUUUUCCUUUUCCCCACCGCAACAGAUCCAUCCCUUGCUCUACCAUUCUUCCUUGACCUCCUCGCCGCAAGAGGUACAGGUGGAUCUUCAGGGAUAGUAACGAUCUCCUUGAUAACAGCGCAGCCCGGACCACGCAUGUAUUCGACUUUCUCGCCGCGCCAAAACUCGAGAGGUUUGUAGUGUUGACGACCUGAGCGACGGGUAACAAAGUUACCGUGGUAGCCGUCGUCACCGGGACCAAGUUCGGAUGGACGUGUCCGUUUCCGUUGGGCAACGACGCUACCAGACCUAGCAGAUCUUGCUCUAUCCUUUCCAUCUGCUUGCUUCUUUGGGCUCUUCUUCUUUUUUGCCACUACCGGCGGUCGUUCCUCUUCAUCCUCGCUCUCGCUUACUUGCAUUUCCUCUUCUUCAACAGUUCUUUCUUCUUCGACAACAUUAUCAUCAACAUUCUGGACGUCCUCAUCAUCCUCUUCCCUCUCCAUCGUCAACGCCGCUUCGAUGUCAUAAUCAUCCAUCGGCCCCAUCGGAGGCAGAUCAUCAAAGUCGACAGUGUGAUUACCUUCGUAUCCACCUUCGUAGUCAUUUGCCGGCUCAUUAUCGCUCACGCUUGCACUUCUCCCCUUAGGUGGGGAUACUGCUUUCUUGUCCUUCGUUGGGGAUCCAUCGUCGUCCGAUGACGCAACCCGCGGUGUCUUUUUCUUACUCUUCACAGGACUUCCCUCCCGCUCUUCCUCUUGGUUCAAGCCAUUCCUAAGAGUAAGAAGCGACUCUCCUUCAUCAGCACUAGGCUUUUG
rnacentral:sRNA from 1 species